ACACAGAGAAACCCUGUCUUGAAAAACCAAAAAAAAAAAAAAAAAAAAAGAUGUCUCUUGACAACAAUAAAACCCUGACUAAGACACUAUUAAACAAAAGGGGCUAGAAAAACUGAAUAGCUACUGGGAGAAAAAAAAAUGGAAUCAGAUAAAUAAUUCACAAAAUCAAUUUGAAAUGAGUCAAAGACCUCAAUUUAAAACAUGAAAGGCUGAAGCUUUUAGAUGAAAACACAGGGAAUCUUUUCAAGAGCCUGCAAGUUAGGGGUUGAUGAAGGAGAGACAUUUUUCUGUAGUGGUCACUUCGGUGCGAUAGCACUGAUAAGGCGCCCACACUGCUGUAAGCAGUCUCUCAUCCAUGCACCUGGAAACUCACAGGCCACAAAAACAGACAGACAAUGACGGGGGGCUACUUGAGAAGAGAGAGUUGGGAACAGAGGGGUGGUGUGAUCAAAAAAAUAUCCUAUACAUUAGAUGAAAAUGUCAUGUAACAAAGCCUUUAUUAUGUGUAUAAAACUUAUUGUGCUAAUAAAAAACACCUUCCCCUGAAAAGGAUGAAGAAAUCUUUUCCUACCGAACCUGGAGAAAAGAGAGCCAGAGUGAUGUAGGCAAGGAAUUGAGCCAGACUGAAAGAGAGGCCAGACAGUGUCAUACACCCUGUCACUUAUAUGGUUUCCUUCUUCCCUAUUGGUUAAAAGCAAGUCACAAGUUCAGUUCAUAAUCAAAAGGACUUCCUGUCC
rnacentral:lncRNA from 1 species